GUUUAUUAAAAACACAGCACUGUGCAAAAUCGUAAGAUGACGUAUACGGUGUGACGCCUGCCCGGUGCCGGAAGGUUAAUUGAUGGGGUUAGACUUCGGUCGAAGCUCUUGAUCGAAGCCCCGGUAAACGGCGGCCGUAACUAUAACGGUCCUAAGGUAGCGAAAUUCCUUGUCGGGUAAGUUCCGACCUGCACGAAUGGCGUAAUGAUGGCCACGCUGUCUCCACCCGAGACUCAGUGAAAUUGAAAUCGCUGUGAAGAUGCAGUGUACCCGCGGCUAGACGGAAAGACCCCGUGAACCUUUACUACAGCUUGGCACUGAACAUUGACCCUACAUGUGUAGGAUAGGUGGGAGGCUUUGAAGCACGUACGCCAGUAUGUGUGGAGCCGUCCUUGAAAUACCACCCUUGUAGUGUUGAUGUUCUAACGUCGACCCCUAAUCGGGGUUGCGGACAGUGCCUGGUGGGUAGUUUGACUGGGGCGGUCUCCUCCCAAAGAGUAACGGAGGAGCACGAAGGUGGGCUAAUCACGGUUGGACAUCGUGAGGUUAGUGCAAUGGCAUAAGCCCGCUUGACUGCGAGAAUGACAAUUCGAGCAGGUGCGAAAGCAGGUCAUAGUGAUCCGGUGGUUCUGAAUGGAAGGGCCAUCGCUCAACGGAUAAAAGGUACUCCGGGGAUAACAGGCUGAUACCGCCCAAGAGUUCAUAUCGACGGCGGUGUUUGGCACCUCGAUGUCGGCUCAUCACAUCCUGGGGCUGAAGUCGGUCCCAAGGGUAUGGCUGUUCGCCAUUUAAAGUGGUACGCGAGCUGGGUUUAGAACGUCGUGAGACAGUUCGGUCCCUAUCUGCCGUGGGCGUUGGAAGAUUGAAGGGGGCUGCUCCUAGUACGAGAGGACCGGAGUGGACGAACCUCUGGUGUUCGGGUUGUGUCGCCAGACGCAUUGCCCGGUAGCUAAGUUCGGAAUCGAUAACCGCUGAAAGCAUCUAAGCGGGAAGCGAGCCCUGAGAUGAGUCUUCCCUGAUACUUUAAGUAUCCUAAAGGGUUGUCGGAGACUACGACGUUGAUAGGUCAGGUGUGUAAGUGCUGUGAGGCAUUGAGCUAACUGAUACUAAUUGCCCGUGAGGCUUAACCAU
rnacentral:rRNA from 1 species